rnacentral:rRNA from 1 species
AUUGAACGCUGGCGGCAUGCCUUACACAUGCAAGUCGAACGGUAACAGGUCUUCGGAUGCUGACGAGUGGCGAACGGGUGAGUAAUACAUCGGAACGUGCCUAGUAGUGGGGGAUAACUACUCGAAAGAGUGGCUAAUACCGCAUGAGAUCUACGGAUGAAAGCAGGGGAUCGCAAGACCUUGUGCUACUAGAGCGGCCGAUGGCAGAGUAGGUAGUUGGUGGGAUAAAAGCUUACCAAGCCGACGAUCUGUAGCUGGUCUGAGAGGAUGAUCAGCCACACUGGGACUGAGACACGGCCCAGACUCCUACGGGAGGCAGCAGUGGGGAAUUUUGGACAAUGGGCGGAAGCCUGAUUCAGCAAUGCCGCGUGCAUGAUGAAGGCCUUCGGGUUGUAAACUGCUUUUGUACGGAACGAAAAGCCCCGGGUUAAUACCCUGGGGUCAUGACGGUACCGUAAGAAUAAGCACCGGCUAACUACGUGCCAGCCGCCGCAGUAA